rnacentral:rRNA from 1 species
UACGUAGGGUGCGAGCGUUGUCCGGAAUUAUUGGGCGUAAAGAGCUCGUAGGCGGUUUGUUGCGUCGGCCGUGAAAACCUGCAGCUUAACUGUGGGCCUGCGGCCGAUACGGGCAGACUUGAGUUCGGUAGGGGAGACUGGAAUUCCUGGUGUAGCGGUGAAAUGCGCAGAUAUCAGGAGGAACACCGGUGGCUAAGGCGGCUCUCUAGUACGGUACUGACGCUGAGACGCGGAAGCGUGGGGAGCGAACAGG